rnacentral:tRNA from 1 species
GGCUCUGUGGCGCAAUGGAUAGCGCAUUAGACUUCUAAUUUAAAGGUUGUGGGUUCAAGUCCCACCAGAGUCA